rnacentral:misc_RNA from 1 species
UAAAAGGUUACUAGGGUUAUGUUGGUACGACUCCUAACGACGCUCUUUUGUCUUGGGAGUCGACCACGUCUUAAUUGCUAAGACGCAUUGGGAAAGAUUAGGCGUUUGCUGUGUGAUUUGGUGUUUUGUAUAAGAGAGAAAAUAAAAAGUGUGAUAACCAAUCCGAGUGGAUCAGCUUGAUUAUCAACCCCAACCUAUAUAAAAUAACAAAUCCCGAGGAAAUUGGAUACUUCUCUGGUCCUAAAUGGCAAAGGAACAGAUUAUCAAAGAAAAGACCAGCUGCUAAGGAUUCGCCG